rnacentral:lncRNA from 1 species
UGAGGCCCAGAAAUGCCCUAUAAAUAGUACAUACAUUACACUUCAAUCCAGUGUCGCCCUGGUGUGGCACGGGCCUCCUGCUCUUCGGCCACUCAAGUCCCGUGCCUGCCUCUCGCCCUCUCCACCCCUCCUGAUCCGAUGACCACAGCUCCGUGUCUGCAUCUCUGAGUCCAGGCUUCCCGUGGCCGACUGGAGACGAUCCUAGGGACAAAGUGAAUUCCCCAGGAACCGGAGAAGAGAGAGCGAGCCUGCGAGCCUGCACGGGAGCCCGAGACGCACCCACGCACCAAGGAAGAAACAGACACUCCCCAAGAUAAAGGGAGAGACUCCAGCGAAGCAGAGACCCGAGCCACAGAGAAGCCUGCGCAGGGAGCCGGAGACGCACAGAAGGACAGAGGAAUGGAGAGGUUUCCAUUUCUCUUGAAUGGAGACAAAAAAGAUACAGAAUGGGCAAACAAAUAUAGCAAACCUCUGGUUUCUUGUUGUAUUUUAUUAAAUCUUGGGU